AACGCGAAGAACCUUACCAGCCCUUGACAUGUCCUCUAUGGAUUCCAGAGACGGAAUCCUUCACUUCGGGUGGGAGGAACACAGGUGCUGCAUGGCUGUCGUCAGCUCGUGUCGUGAGAUGUUGGGUUAAGUCCCGCAACGAGCGCAACCCUCGGCCUUAGUUGCCAUCAUUCAGUUGGGCACUCUAGGGCGACUGCCGGUGAUAAGCCGGAGGAAGGUGGGGAUGACGUCAAGUCCUCAUGGCCCUUACGGGCUGGGCUACACACGUGCUACAAUGGCGGUGACAGAGGGACGCAAAAGGGCGACCUUUCGCAAAUCUCAAAAAGCCGUCUCAGUUCGGAUUGGGGUCUGCAACUCGACCCCAUGAAGUUGGAAUCGCUAGUAAUCGCAGAUCAGCACGCUGCGGUGAAUACGUUCCCGGGUCUUGUACACACCG
rnacentral:rRNA from 1 species